rnacentral:rRNA from 1 species
UCCCAGACUCCUACGGGAGGCAGCAGUGGGGGAUAUUGCACAAUGGGGGAAACCCUGAUGCAGCGACGCCGCGUGGGCGAAGAAGUAUUUCGGUAUGUAAAGCCCUAUCAGCAGGGAAGAAGAAAUGACGGUACCUGAGUAAGAAGCACCGGCUAAAUACGUGCCAGCAGCCGCGGUAAUACGUAUGGUGCAAGCGUUAUCCGGAUUUACUGGGUGUAAAGGGCGUGUAGCCGGGCCGGCAAGUCAGAUGUGAAAUCCCAAGGCUCAACCUUGGAACUGCAUUUGAAACUGUUGGUCUUGAGUAUCGGAGAGGCAGGCGGAAUUCCUAGUGUAGCGGUGAAAUGCGUAGAUAUUAGGAGGAACGCCAGUGGCGAAGGCGGCCUGCUGGACGACAACUGACGGUGAGGCGCGAAAGCGUGGGGAGCAAACAGGAUUAGAUACCCGGGUA